GACGAACGCUGGCGGCGUGCCUAAUACAUGCAAGUCGAACGCUUCUUUUUCCACCGGAGCUUGCUCCACCGGAAAAAAAAGAGUGGCGAACGGGUGAGUAACACGUGGGUAACCUGCCCAUCAGAAGGGGAUAACACUUGGAAACAGGUGCUAAUACCGUAUAACAAUCGAAACCGCAUGGUUUUGAUUUGAAAGGCGCUUUCGGGUGUCGCUGAUGGAUGGACCCGCGGUGCAUUAGCUAGUUGGUGAGGUAACGGCUCACCAAGGCCACGAAGCAUAGCCGACCUGCGAGGGUGAUCGGCCAGAUGGGGACUGAGACACGGCCCGAACUCCUACGGGAGGCAGCAGUAGGGAAUCUUCGGCAAUGGACGAAAGUCUGACCGAGCAACGCCGCGUAAGUGAAGAAGAUUUUCGGAUCGUAAAACUCUGUUGUUAGAGAAGAACAAGGAUGAGAGUAACUGUUCAUCCCUUGACGGUAUCUAACCAGAAAGCCACGGCUAACUACGUGCCAGCCGCCGCCGUAA
rnacentral:rRNA from 1 species